GACAGAGGUGCCAAGCGUUAGGCGGAAUCACUGGGCUUAAAGCGUGUGUAGGCGGAUCGUUAAGUACCUUGUGAAAUCCCACGGCUCAACCGUGGAACUGCUCGGUAUACUGGCGGUCUUGAGCCACCUAGGGGCAACUGGAACAAGCGGUGGAGCGGUGAAAUGCGUAGAUAUCGCUUGGAACGCCAACCGUGAAAACAGGUUGCUGGGGGUGUGCUGACGCUGAGACACGAAAGCCAGGGGAGCGAACGGG
rnacentral:rRNA from 1 species